UUUCCGUAGGUGAACCUGCGGAAGGAUCAUUAGAAAUGUGGGCCAUAGGUCUUCUUUUUUAACCUGUGCACUGUUUGUUUGGCGUGUGAUCAAGUUAUUGAUCGCCGCCGCCCGGGUGGCAUGAAUCAGUUCCCUUUUGGGGGGGCGGAGGAUUGCGCCUAAUUAUUUGACUAUUCUGACUGAUCAAACAAAUGAAAAUUGUUAACAUAUAAACAACUUUCAGCAAUGGAUCUCUCGGCUUUC
rnacentral:misc_RNA from 1 species